rnacentral:rRNA from 1 species
GACGAACGCUGGCGGCGUGCCUAAUACAUGCAAGUCGAGCGGACUUGAUGGAGUGCUUGCACUCCGGAUGGUUAGCGGCGGACGGGUGAGUAACACGUAGGCAACCUGCCUGUAAGACCGGGAUAACUAGCGGAAACGUUAGCUAAUACCGGAUAAUUUAUUUCAUCGCAUGGUGGAAUAAUGUAAUACGGAGCAAUCUGUCACUUACGGAUGGGCCUGCGGCGCAUUAGCUAGUUGGUGGGGUAACGGCUCACCAAGGCGACGAUGCGUAGCCGACCUGAGAGGGUGAACGGCCACACUGGGACUGAGACACGGCCCAGACUCCUACGGGAGGCAGCAGUAGGGAAUCUUCCGCAAUGGACGAAAGUCUGACGGAGCAACGCCGCGUGAGUGAUGAAGGUUUUCGGAUCGUAAAGCUCUGUUGCCAGGGAAGAACGUCCUUAAGAGUAACUGCUUAAGGAGUGACGGUACCUGAGAAGAAAGCCCCGGCUAACUACGUGCCAGCCGCCGCCGUAACAC